AUGCAUGAUCAGGUCGGCCUGGACCUAGACGGCUUUCCACUCGACCACGGGUUUCCGGAGGACUACGAGCAAGAGGAAGAGGAUGAGUUUGACAUCGAAGGGGAGCCUUUGUUCAAAGACGAGCUCGCCAACCAAGCCGCCGAGGUGAAGCCGAAGCGCAAGAGCAAGCGGAUGAAGGCAUACACGGCGGCCGAGGACAAGCUCCUUUGUGAGUGUUGGAGGGACAUUGGGCAAGACCCCCAAGGUCGCGCCGAACAAAAGGCAUCAACCUUUUGGAUUCAUGUCCACCGUGAGUUCCAUGAGCGCAAUAAGUUUCCGCCAUACCAAAUACUAAGCACGCGCGGGUGGGUGUCCAUUUCAAAGCGAUGGAGGGUGAUCCAACAAGAGUGCAACAAGUUUUGUGCCACUCUUGAGAGCGUCAAGGCCCGCCCGUGA
rnacentral:rRNA from 1 species